UCUAGACCCUGAGCACAACUGCACGGGAGACCAAGUCCUGCUCUGCAGAGAACUCAUCCUCCUUCCAGGACAAGGACCCUCAGUGGGAGUCAAGCCGUGGAUCUGCUGUACACGGUUGAGGCUGGCUUCUGAUCCAACUACAAGUCCACGGUCCUUGGCAGUUACAGAAAAGACAACCACAACACUGACUGAAAGCCAGUUCUCCUUCCUGCAAGUCUGGACCAGGGCUUCGGUUAAAAUUAAAGGAAGUAUCUUAGAUAAGUAGUGAAUGACUUGUGGCCAUUCAUAAUAACAUUUGUAAUUGGCUGGAGCAUUUUUCUGAUUUAUUAUUUGCUUAGAUCCCUUUGCUUGCUUCUUGAUUCAUGUAAUCAUUUUACCUGUGAUUACAUUGCAGUCAAUCAAACCUGUAAUUUGUUGUGAUAUUGACAAUAGGAGAUAUUUCAUCCUUGCUCUAUUUUAAUUUAACCCUUGUGAUAAUAGAGUUUGUACCAAAGUUUAGGGCCAGUGCUAUUUUCCCAUACGAGCUGUUGGCCCCAACUGUAAUAAUGCUUCUUGCUUUUCUUUACUGUCUCAUCCCACUGGUGUCUGCUGCUUCCUGGAAGGAAAAUUCUCUCAUUAGGUUGUCUCAGAGUAUACCAAGAGGUGGGAAUUUAAGUAAUUGUUGGAUAUGUCAUUUGAAAUCUCAAACUAUUCGUGAACAGUAUAUCCCAUCGGUGGUCCCUAUAACUGAUUUUGAUACUGUGCCAGACCCCUUAACCUUCUAUAAUCUUCCUCCUUCAAGCUUCACAUUCCAAGUUCAGAUAACCAAGAGACCUCAGAAUAUCCCAAUCCCUUGCUUCAACCUGUCUGAAGUAAUUUCCAUUGGAGGAAACGUUACUACCGGUCCCCCGCGGUCCCUCAAAUUUCUCCUGGAGAAAUGUGAUGCCCAAAAUCCCCUGAAAUGUACACUUGACAAAUGUGUAAGGGCUAAAAAUGACACGAAUUUAUGCCAGAUAGCCAGACAAGUUGGAUAUCAUGUAAAUGGACUAUGGAAGGCUUGCAGUGGCUCUCACCCCUGGCUUGAAAACAUAAUCUCUGAACUCCCCAAAAAUGAAAGAAUCAAUGACGUGACCCUGGGAGGUAUAACUUGCUCCCCUCCAGGAUAUAUCUUUGUCUGUGGCAUAGGGAGUGACUCACCAACACAAGGAUGGGCACAUCGCUGCUUAGACAGCUGGCAAAUGGAAGGGUCAUGCUUAUUGGGAUAUUUUAGGAUCCCUUUUUCUGUGCAUAGUCUGGAGAGCAUGACUUCUCUCUCUAAAUCAAACACCCGUCUUAAAAGAGAGAUAUUGGCAGGGUAGGGGGACAAUAUAGGACAAAGUAUUUUUGCCAAACUCACACCAACUGCCAGAGUUUAUGUCAAUAGAGAUAUGAUUCAUAAUGUAUCUGCCGCAAUUGGACAAAUUGCUGAGGACACAGCUAAAAGUAUUGCAGCCCAACAAACAUCUUUGAACUCAUUGGCUCGAGUGGUCCUGGAUAAUAGAAUAGCCCUUGACUUCUUAUUGGCAAAACAAAGAUUAUGUGCAGUGGCUCAUCCCACAUGCUGCACAUAUGUCAAUACCUCUGGAGAAGUUGAAACCCAAGUAAACAGAAUAAUUGAAAAGGCUACCUGGUUAUAGGAUGUUUAUAAAGAGGACACGUACCAGGACUUAUUUUUGUGAUAGCGAUCUGGAAUAGGGGGACUCUUCUGAGUACUGUUACAAGGCUCCAUCUGAUCAUCACCCUCUUUGUAAUGUGUUCAUUAAUUUUCACAUAUUUCUCCAGAUACUAUGACAAAGUGAUCAAAGAGGGAGAUAAUGUUUCAUAAUGCAAAAUACUGAUGCUAGGCCUGGGACUUGAGAAUUCUUAGAAAAGAAGGUCCAAGACUUUCUCUCCUCUAAUCCUGAAGAAUUGACAUCGCCCCUGUUCAGCAGGAAGUAGCCAGAACGGUCGUCGCCCCAUUCCCCUUAGGAUUGAGGAGUAUCGAAGAGAAGAGGGAACUGAAACGGAGCUUGACCCUGCAGUGCCCUCCUUCAUACAAUUCCCUCUUGUCCCCACUUCUUUUUUGUAGAAAAAGCUAGAGUUUUUGAGGCCUUGUCAGAGUUCCAAAGAGCAGACUCAAGCAGUUAAUGAUUACAGAAAUGAGGAAAUCCAGAAACAAAGGAAAAGCAACCAAGCAAGAAAAGUUCAGCCAUAAAACAGAGUCACAGGACUCCUAGUUCCUCCUCAAGGGAUAUAGAUAACAAUCUGAUGCAACAUAUCCUUGAGUUGUCUUACAGAAACCAGGACCCUGUGAUGAAACCUGCUGACCACAGCCAAGGAGACUCAGAGAAGUUGGAGCCAGACGAGUGAUGACCAGCAUGCCAGAUAUCACUUUAUUGCUUAACACCCAUCCAAUCAGAAGAAUCCAUGAGCUAAUCUCAUGCUUCAGACCCUUACCCUUAAUUUUAGUCUUUAAAAACGCUUGCCUGAAAGCCGUCGGGGAGUUCAGGUCCUUUAAGCAUUAGGUGCCCAUUCUCCCUGCUCGGUACCCUGCAAAUAAAUGCUGAACUUUCCUUCACCACAACCCUGUGUCAGUAGAUUGACUUUCCUGUGCAUUGGGUGAGCAAACACAAGUUUGGUUCAGUAACAACCUGUGUUUCGGUUGGGAGAGGUCAGUGGUUUUCCUUAAUGACUUUUCAGUUUUUUGAAUAUUAGGAGCACUUUCAAACACACAAAAGAAUAAACUCUCACAGCCAUCACCUAGAUUCAUGAACAAGCUUCUUCUUCAUUUGCCUUAUCUAUUUUUAUUUUUUAUUUUUGCUGAAAUAUUUUAAAGUAAAUACAAGACAUCAUUCUGUUUCAUCCUUAAAAUGUCAGUAUCUCUCUCUUAAAACAGAAGGGUGUUUUCUUAUAUAAUCACAAUAUUAUUGUCCCAGCUAAUAAAUUUCAUAUUCCCUAAUAUUUAAUACUCUGUACAUAUUCAAAAUUUACUGCUCUUCUACAGUUGAUUUAUUGAAGCCAGGAUCUAAGUAAGGGGCAAACAAUUCUCUCCAUCUGCUAAACCAGAACAGCACCUCAUUCCCCAAGCCAUUAAAGUAUUGAAGCCCUGUUGAAGGUCAUAUCUGGUGGACUUGUUUGGUUGCUUCAUCAUAGUCACCUUGAUAGCUUCAGUUUGUUAUUGAAGUUUUAUAGCCUCCUGGAGCAUAUUGAAAUACUCCCUUUUUGCUGUUCUCUAGAAGAAUCUGGAUACUACUAAGAUAAAUGUUUGUCUUUGAUGAAAUGGCCUCUAAUCCAAUGACUGGUGUCUUUAUAAGAAAAGAAAACAGAAGACAUAGGCACACACACAGUGGGGAGGCCUCGUGAAGACAAGACAGAGGUUGGAGUGAUGAAUCUACAUGCCAAGAAAGACCAUGUAUUCCUGGCAACCACCAGAAGCUAGAGGAGACGAGGAAGGAUUCUUCCCUAGAUCCUUUGGACGGAUCAUGAUCCUACCUAUACCUUGAUAUCAGACUUCUACCUUGCAAAGUUGUGAGAAAAUAUCUUUUUGGUUUAAGCCACCGAGUUUGUGGUACUUUGUUACGGCAGCCCUAGAAAACUUAAUACAGUGGUCAUGAACCCACCUCAGCCCCCAAGCUAGUGCUGUCCCCUCGACUAAUAACCCAUUCCUGCCUAGAUAUGAGAGGUGAAGGAUUGGAGGAGGUCAAGCCACAAGAGUCUUCUCACACAUUUAUUUUCACUGACCAGUUUGAGAGAUAAGCCUGUAGCAUCCUGCAACAGGGAUGCUUACACUGACAUAGCCACACAAACUCAAGCCUUCCUGUCCUUGGGAUUUACUUCGGGAUAGUAAUUAAGUUGGUUUUUCCAAGGCUGGGGGAGAAGUAAGAAUCUCUACUGUAAAAAGUAAACAGUUGAUAGUAUCCUUUAGUCUCUGCUACUUUAUCAUCAAGUGUACACAAGAUGGGUCUCCAUUUUCCCUUUUAUCCUCUGUCCUCACUUGUACUUCCCAUCCCCCAGUAUUCACCCACUCUAAUGUGUGCCGUGUAAGUCUUUAGAUAUAUGUGUUCCUUCUAAAAUAUAUCAAUUUGUGGAUGAUUGUGUCCUUAGUUUAUGUGCAGAGACUUAUGUUUUAGACCUCAUUUAUUUUCUACAAUUUAUACUCGACAUCCUUUAUUAAAAGAUCUGUGCUGGUUGUCAUGCACGUAGAAUUCAUUGUUUCUAACUUGAAUUUCACUGUAUGCACCCACCAUAUUUUAUUUAUCAUUUUCUCUAGUGAUGAACACCAAGCUGCCUCCAACUUCCCACCACUACAAACAAUGCUGCUGAUGACCAUUCUCACCCCUGUCCCUUUAAGGACCUGGGUGAGGGUCCCUCUGUUGGCUCCUAAAAUUCAGAAGAGCUGACGUAACUGGACGCUGCCUAGAUAUAUGUGGUGUGCUUCACUGGAUUGGAUAACUUCCUGAUUAAUUCCAAUUUCCUAGAGCAAAGUAGAGCCACUUGGUGACUCGGAAAUGGUCAAGACUGUAUAUCUGGCAUUGAUGCCCAUGU